CCUUCUUAAUUUUUCGAGAAGGCCAUCGAGUGAUCCCGUGUUGCCUGCAUAUCCUUUUCAGAGUAGUGGGGCACACUGCAAUACAGUAAACUCGGUAAGCGACUCCAAGUGAGCUGGGUCCUUUUACACAUUAUAAAGAGAAAUAGAUCGAAAUGCUAAUGCAUGGAGGUCAAGGGCGUUUAUACUAUCACUCCAAAAUGAGGCUAAAUCGAUCUCUAGCUUCAAAGAGAGAAGCACUGUCGCAGCUGGUUCACCAACAAUAGAUUGCGCAGAAGAGGUGGUGCUCAGAGCAUGCCUCAAGGAAGCCCAAAAAUUUGUCAUCAGCCACGAAGCAAGCAGCAUCCACGGUGGAAACACAAUUAUAAUAGUUCUCAUCUGAAUGUCGGCAUCCACUUUUACCUUGACUGAGGCAUGGGGCCCAUGUCAGAGCCAAAGGCAGCUUAUAUAUCUUGCAGACAGAUCUUAGAACCUCAGCUAUCUCAGGCAAUGCAGCUUGAUACAACUCAUUGCAAGCCUGUGGAUAUAGAGGGUCUCAGAAAUGAGUAAUAAAAUUUUGAACCAUGAAACUAUAGUUUUAAGAUACCAUUCUUUUACCUCAACAUUAGGAGGACUGAAGUUAUGUGAGGUCCUUAGAUCAACAGCCUGCAAACAGAUAUGCUUUAUUUAAAUGUAUAUUCAGAUGCAA